UUCCGGUUGAUCCCGCCGGAGGUGGCUGCUGUCGGGAUGAGAUUAAGUCAUGCAACUGAGAGCACAAUCUAUGUUUGUGCUCCGGGCAAGUCUGAGUAACGCGUAGUCAAUCUACCCUGUGGUUGAUGAUAACCCCGGCAAACUGGGGAUAAACAUCGAUAAUCACCGUCUGUUGGAAUACUUCGGUGGUAAAAGGAGUAUGAGCAUGGUUAUACACGCCAUAGGACGAGACUGCGUCCGAUUAGGUAUUGCGUGGGGUAAUGGCCCACGUAGCCUUAUCGGUAGGGGCUAUGAGUAGUAGUAUCCCCCAGUUGAAUCCUGAGACACUGAUUCAGGGCCUAUGGGUUGCAGCAGGCACGAAAACUUCACAAUGCACGAAAGUGUGAUGAGGUCAUCCCGAGUCCUAGGCUUACGUCUAGGUUUUCUGAAGUGUGAUAAGCUUCAGGAAUAAGGAGGGGGCAAGAACGGUGCCAGCCGCCGCGGUAAAACCGUCUCUUCGAGUGGCCACCGCGUUUACUGGGCUUAAAGCGUGCGUAGCGGGAUUAGUCCGUCCCACAUUAAAGACGGCUUCUCAAGAGUCCGAAGUGUGUGGGAAACAGCUAAUCUUGGCAAUGGGAUAGGGGCUCGGUACCCGUGGUGUAAAGGUGAAAUUUUAUAAUCCCACGGGGACCACCGAUGGCGAAGGCAGAGCCCUGGAACAUGUGCGACCGUCACGCACGAAAGGGUGGGUAGCGAGCCGGAUUAGAUACCCGGGUAGUCCACCCCGUAAACGAUGCGGAUUAAGUGUAUGGGAAGCGAAUGCUUUCCAUGUGCCGUAGGGAAACCGUUAAAUCCGCCGCCUGGGAAGUACGCUCGCAAGAGUGAAACUUAAAGCAAUUGGCGGGAGAGCGC
rnacentral:rRNA from 1 species